AAUUCUCGCAUAGCGUUUAAAAUGUUAUACUGCUCGAAAAUCAGAGAAUAAAUCUGCAAAAGAGAGAAGAAUUACUGUGAGUUCCAGUGUAAUGAAACAUUCAUUUCUGAAUAAAUAUUGGCUUUGAUAUGAACAUUAUGAACAAUACAAUAGUGUUCAAGAACUCAUUUCAGCCACACAAAGUAUAAUGUUAUAAGAACGACAUUAUAAGAUAAAAUAUAUCGUACAAACAAAUAUUAUAUAGAAUCAGGCAGAUACGUCAAUAUGAAAAAUUAUUGAACUUUGCAAACUUAGGAUUGCCCUGUCCACAAGCCACAAACUUAUUUCACUGGGAUAUAUUAUAUUCAUUAUUGCGAUUCAGGUUAAGUGCAAAUGAACCGAUGGAGGGGAAGAAGAUAAAGUUAUUGAAAUAAUUGAGACUUUUAUCUGGAAAAUCUGCAGCUCGAGUAGGACGCAGAUUCCAGCGAGUACGUCAGCAAGUGUCAAUCAUACUGAAAAGACAGAUGACAGAAAUAAACAAACAAUUUCACGUUUUACUCAGCAUUCAUGAACAUCGACUAAAUUUCUACGAUGUGAUGUAUGCGAAAGAAGAAGUCAUAGUACACUAGUACAGACCAGUGUUUAUCAUGUUUGCGAGAGAAAGAGACAUUUAGCUUCUGUUUAUUCUAAAAAGGGGUAUGGCAAAAUUUAUCGGAUUCAAUUUGUGACUUGAAUGUGCUCUAACAUUCAUGAAUCAGUCUAUGAAUAGGUACACCCAAAAAUUUAGAAGCACAUGAAAGAGGAAGUGUUAGAAGACGCACCGUCGCCUUAUUCUGACCAACAGUCCACCAAUGGAGAAGACGUCAAGCCCAACAUAUCCGUAUCAUCCCCUGUUUCGUAUUCCAACCCCGAAACAUCAGACACUAUCAAAAGAAGAAAGAAAGCAAACGAAAGGCGAGCUCAAAACCCAGAAUGGAAGGAAUACAAGCACGAGAAUCUCAUCGCCGCCAUCAACGCAGUACUCAGUACAAGCAUGUCGGUCUUAGCAGCUUCCCAGAAAUACCAGGUGCCUUAUGCAAGCCUCUAUCAAAAUCUUCUCUAUUAUGGCAUUCCGACCAGAGGGUCGGUAUUGUAACCACCAUGUCUUGCAGAUAUUUCAGCAAGGAUCUUAACUGCGCCAUCAAAGAAGUAGCUAAUGGAAAAAUGUUGGCUCUACAAUCUGCCAAGAAAUACAAAGUACCAUCUAGAUUCUAGAACCCUCUCCGAUAAUGUUAGCGAGUUACGCACUGUGACCACCAGGUCUUGCGGAUAUUCCAUCGAGGAUCUGAACUGUGCCCUCCAAGAAGUAGCCAAUGGAAACAUGUUGGCCCUACAAGCUGCCAAAAAAUACAACGUGCCUAAUGGGACAAUAUACUAUAAUAUCAAAAAGUUAGGCAUUGUGGUCCUCAGGUCUUGCAGAUAUUCCAGCGAUGAUCUUAACUGUGCCAUCCAAGAGGUAGCCAAUGGAAACAUGUUGGUCCUACAAGCAUCCAAGAAAUACAACGUGCCUACUAGCACCCUCUCCCAUAAAGUUAGCAAGUUAGGCAUUGUGACCAACAGGUCUUUCGAGAAAGAUUCCCAAGGCAAUGUCCGCUAUUUAGUGACUAGACGGACAUAUUCACCCUACCAAACCUGCGAAAAUGAGAAUUGCACGAGUAAGAAGAAAAAAAUAAGAUGUGCGUGUGAUAGGUACGCCAACUGAAGAUUUAACCUGCAAAUUGCUGACAUAGUUCCAUAUAGUUUAUGUUUUUGUAUAAUUACUACAGACUACUAAGUGCUAUAUAAUUCUGAGAAGGGUGCUACUUGACCGUUGAAAGACUCUUGCGAACAAAGCAAUUUCUACAAAUAAUAUCACUUCAUCAUAUCAUCUUUCAACAAUUUUUAUUUCACUGGUCUGCAUUUGGCAGAACCUAUGGAUUGAAAGCUUGAGAUAACUUCAAAACCCGAUUUUGACUUUAAAA